UACGUAGGGUGCGAGCGUUAAUCGGAAUUACUGGGCGUAAAGCGUGCGCAGGCGGUUCGUUAAGUCAGAUGUGAAAGCCCCGGGCUCAACCUGGGAACUGCAUUUGAAACUGGGGGGCUUGAGUAUGGCAGAGGGGGGUGGAAUUCCGCGUGUAGCAGUGAAAUGCGUAGAGAUGUGGAGGAAUACCGAUGGCGAAGGCAGCCCCCUGGGAUAACACUGACGCUCAUGCACGAAAGCGUGGGGAGCAAACAGG
rnacentral:rRNA from 1 species